rnacentral:rRNA from 1 species
GAUGAACGCUGGCGGCGUGCCUAAUACAUGCAAGUCGAGCGAACAGACGAGAGUGCUUGCACUCUCUGACGUUAGCGGCGGACGGGUGAGUAACACGUGGGUAACCUACCUAUAAGACUGGGAUAACUUCGGGAAACCGGAGCUAAUACCGGAUAAUAUUUAGCUUCGCAUGAAGCAAUAGUGAAAGACGGUUCUGCUGUCACUUAUAGAUGGACCCGCGGUGUAUUAGCUAGUUGGUGAGGUAACGGCUCACCAAGGCAACUAUACAUAGCCGACCUGAGAGGGUGAUCGGCCACACUGGGACUGAGACACGGCCCAGACUCCUACGGGAGGCAGCAGUAGGGAAUCUUCCGCAAUGGACGAAAGUCUGACGGAGCAAUGCCGCGUGAGUGAAGAAGGUUUUCGGAUCGUAAAACUCUGUUGUAAGGGAAGAACAAGUACGUUAGUAACUGAACGUACCUUGACGGUACCUUACCAGAAAGCCACGGCUAACUACGUG